rnacentral:rRNA from 1 species
GACGAACGCUGGCGGCGUGCUUAACACAUGCAAGUCGAACGGUUACGCUCCAGCUUGCUGGUGUGGAUCAGUGGCGAACGGGUGCGUAACACGUGAGCAACCUGCCCCACACUCUGGUAUAAGCGCUCGAAACGGCGUCUACUCCUUUAUCCGAUAUCACGCCGCAUGGUUAUGGUCUGGUCAUUUUUGCUGUUUGGGAUGGGCUCGCGGCCUAUCAGCUUGUUGGUGAGCUAAUGGCUCACCCAGGCGACGAAGGGUAGCCGGCCUGAGAGGGCGACCGGCGACACGGGGACUGAGAGACGGACCAGACGGCUACGGGAGGCAGCAGGGGGGAAUAUGGCACAAUGGGCGAAAGCCUGAGGAAGAGACGCCGCGGGAGGGAUGACGGCCUUCGGGUUGUAAACAGCUUUCAGCAGGGAAGAAGCGAAAGUGACGGUACCUGAAGAAGAAGCACCGGCUAACUACGUG